AAAAAGUGAAACAUUGCUGUUGUUCAUUCAAUAUGUUUUUUCCCAUUGGUUUAAAGAAAGAAAAUCAAAUUGGCCGGUACAAUUUAAACAAUACACAUUCAAGCUUGUGUUUGUAUUUAUUUUUUCUAUGUACAUCUAAUUGGCUAAAGCAAAUCAACAGUAAUUUACAAUAGUUAAUUGAUCCAAUGAAUGUUCGUUCAUUGAGCAUGUCUUGCGCAUGCGCUGUGCCAAGUCGCUCCACCCAACAUAGGGGGCAGCACUGACAACAGCCUCACUUGACUCUGCCCAAUAACACAGUAGAAUAUGACAUGUGCGCCAUGUGCUCUGGCCUCUGAUCAUCCCUAGAAACGUGACCGAGACCUGCCAUCCCACUGCCAAGCUUCUCCACGAUGAAAGGCUUUACUGAAUGCUGCACUGGAUUUAUCUACAUGAAGGCAAUAUGUGAUCAAAUUGCUGAUAAUUUUCCUUGGAGACCCUGUUAAUGAAAUAAGAAUCAGGUACAGCAAGAAUGCAGUGUGGUGGAGGAAACAAUGGCAGUUGUCACAAGUUGUUGCUGGUUGCUAUGUAACUACUUGCAUAUCGCUGUAUUCAGUGAUGUUCACAUUUAUGCACUGUUAAUAAAAAGUAAAAUAAUUCAA